CUUAGCUCAACGGAUAGAGCACUUGCCUUCUAAGCAAGCGGUUGCAGGUUCGAAUCCUGCAGGG
rnacentral:tRNA from 1 species